rnacentral:rRNA from 1 species
UACGGGGGGGGCAAGCGUUGUUCGGAAUUACUGGGCGUAAAGGGCUCGUAGGCGGCCAACUAAGUCAGACGUGAAAUUCCUCGGCUUAACCGGGGAACUGCGUCUGAUACUGGAUGGCUAGAGGUUGGGAGAGGGAUGCGGAAUUCCAGGUGUAGCGGUGAAAUGCGUAGAUAUCUGGAGGAACACCGGUGGCGAAGGCGGCAUCCUGGACCAAUUCUGACGCUGAGGAGCGAAAGCCAGGGGAGCAAACGGG